rnacentral:rRNA from 1 species
UGCCAGCCGCCGCGGUAAUACGGAGGGUGCAAGCGUUGUUCGGAAUUAUUGGGCGUAAAGCGCGUGUAGGCGGUUCGUUAAGUCUGAUGUGAAAGCCCGGGGCUCAACCCCGGAAGUGCAUUGGAAACUGGCGAACUUGAGUACGGGAGAGGAAAGUGGAAUUCCCAGUGUAGCGGUGAAAUGCAUUGAUAUUGGGAAGAACACCGGUGGCGAAGGCGGCUUUCUGGUCCGAUACUGACGCUGAGAUACGAAAGCCAGGGGAGCGAACGGGAUUAGAUA